AGUCUGACGGAGCACGCCGCGUGAGUGAUGAAGGCUUUCGGGUCGUAAAACUUGUUGUUAGGGAAGAACAAGUGCUAGUUGAAUAAGCUGGCACCUUGACGGUACCUAACCAGAAAGCCGCGGCUAACUACGGCUAGCAGCCGCGGUAAUACUGAGGUGGCCAGCUUAUCCGGAAUGGGGGCGUAAAGCGGUUAUUGGGUCUUAAUUCUACUUUCCCCCCAUAUUUUCUUCUCUUAUA
rnacentral:rRNA from 1 species